CACGAACGCUGGCGGCAUGGCUAAAACAUGCAAGUCGAACGAGAAGCCAUCUUCGGAUGGUGGACAGUGGCGGACGGACGAGUAAUGCAUUCCUAAUGUACCCCGAGGUCAGGGAUAGCUCACCGAAAGGUGUGGUAAUACCUGAUGAUCCCAGCGAACCGUAUGGUUUGCUGGGCAAAGGCUUGCUGCCUCGGGAUCAGGGAAUGUGGUAUCAGAUUGUUGGUGGGGUAACGGCCUACCAAGUCUAAGACGCCCAGCGGGUGUGAGAGCACGACCCGCCGUAUCGGGACUGAGACACUGCCCGG
rnacentral:rRNA from 1 species